rnacentral:lncRNA from 1 species
UAUUUUAUCUUUAUCCUUCUCUUUAAAUUAGAUCUUAUCCAUUAUAAUUAAAUAUUCAUACUUAAGUCUAAUCUCAUUAGAAUAUUAUUAUCUCAUAAUAAUUUGUGAAUAUUUAAUUAUUCUCUAAUCUAAUUAGAGAUUAAAUCUAUCGUAACAUUCAAAUUAUAAUUCUCACUAUUUUCACUAAACUAUUUAGUGUAUUAAUUAGACUCAUCUUAUCAAAUUGGAUGCACACAAUUCCCAUUGUGUGUGACCGCGUAGGUCCAUUAUCAUUCGGCAGUGGAAUUCAAUAUUAAACUCUUUAAUAUUGAAUUAGAACUCUUCUAAUCUAUGAAAUAAUUUAUUUUAAAUUAUUUCAGCUUCUCACUGUCCGUGAGUGACACCUAGCAGUAUAUCACGGUAAUCCAGAAUGAUGAUGAAAAAUGAACCUUUCCGCUAUCAGUUAUCGUGUGAUUAAUUCCUUCCAACACAACGUUCCGAUCGAACUAAAAUUAUGAUUACUCGCCAAAUCUUAUUAUUCGAUCAUAUGACUAGAAUAUCUAAAACUGACUCAAUAUGGUAACACAGCUGGAAACUCUUUCCACACACCACGUACCCUGGCCAAGGAUUUUUCGAGUCAAGUUCGACAGUCUACAUAGGACGUUCUCUCUCACUAUUGAGAGUGUUGAAUUCCUUAUUGCGCAUUCAUAUGCCUCCCUAUAUAAACUACUACAGCCAAUCAGUACCAGACAUAGACCAAUGAUUAGAGUCUAAGUAUUAGUACAGUUAAACAGUAGCAAUCUACAUGUGAAGCAACCAUGAUGCCUCAGGUCUAAGGAGUACUUCACACAACUGUAGCAAAGAACUAGUCACUGGCGAAUUCGGAACCAUGUGACUGUUCAACUAAAUGGUCACGCUCAGUGUACUUGUUCUCUAACAAGCACCUGCAUGCUUACUUUAGUGUCCCUACACUAAUGACUUGAGCUUCGUCACCUCAACUUAGAAGUAUAGCAUACACCGGCCUAUCCGGAAAUAUCAUCGUCCUUAUGAUAUUCCUAUGGCUAGGAGCAUUUAAGAAUCUUGUACAAAGAAAUAUAUAUCUCAAAUUCCUAACUCUUAGGAAUAUAUUUUCUUAACAAAGAUUCAAUGGACGAUUCAUAUAAAUGUAUUGUACUGCUAACAAUAAAUAUGAAUAAAGCUUGCCCUUUAUUAAUUAAGAAAAAUACUUAAUAUGUUCACUAGCCUGUGUCACCGAUUGGCUUUAGGGUAUAUCACUAACAAUCUCCCACUUACACUAAUGCAAAUCGCUCAUGUAUCUCAUACCCAUUCUUUCUAAAUGCACAUCCAGCUUUUGAAGUGUGAGCGGCUUAGUAAGGGGAUCCGCUAUAUUGUCUACGGAUGCUACUUUCUGCACAACAAUCUGACGCUCAUCUAUAAAUUGUCGGAUGAUGUGGUAGCGUCGAUCUAUAUGCUUGGACUUCUGGUGAGACCUCGGUUCUUUAGCUUGCGCUAUAGCUCCAUUAUUGUCACAGUAAAGUGGCAUUGGCUCCUCAAUAGAAGGCACCACUCCUAGUUCCGUGACGAAUUUUCGAAGCCAAACUGCCUCCUUUGAUGCCUCAGAUGCUGCAAUGUACUCUGCCUCAGUAGUGGAAUCUGCUGUUGUAUUCUGUUUGGAACUCUUCCAAAUGAUAGCCCCACCAUUCAAUAUGAAGACAUGCCCUGAUGUUGACUUUCUAUCAUCAACAUCUGACAUGAAGUCUGAAUCUGUGAAGCCUUCUAACGUUAGCUCAUUUCCACCAUACACUAGACACAAAUCCUUAGUUCUUCUCAAGUACUUAAAGAUAUUCUUCACAGCAGUCCAGUGCUCUUCACCUGGAUUAGACUGAUAUCUGCUCGUAACACUUACGGCAUGUGCGAUAUCUGGUCUUGUACAUAGCAUAGCGUACAUGAGACUUCCUAUUGCGGAAGCAUAGGGAAUUCUGCUCAUACGCUCUCUUUCCUCAGGUGUUUUAGGACACAUCAUCUUGGAAAGAUUAAUUCCAUGUCUAAGAGGAAGAAGACCCCUUUUGGAAUUUUCCAUGUUGAACCUCUUCAACACAUCUUCUAUGUACAUCUGCUGUGACAAACCGAUCAACCUCUUAGAUCUAUCUCUAUAGACCUUAAUGCCGAGGAUAUAGGCUGCCUCUCCUAGAUCUUUCAUCAAGAAAUUCUGGGACAACCAAACCUUGACAGAGGUCAUCAAACUUGCAUCAUUUCCGAUCAAUAGAAUGUCGUCCACGUACAAUACGAGAAAGACAAGUUGGCUCCCACUGGUCUUCUUGUAAACACAAGGUUCAUCUUGAUUUCUCAUGAAGCCAAACGUUUUGACUGCAUCAUUGAACCGUAUGUUCCAACUCCUCGAAGCCUGCUUCAAUCCAUAAAUGGAUCUCUGAAGCUUGCAUACUUUAUGUUUCUGGCUAUUGGACACAAAUCCCUCAGGCUGCUGCAUAUAUAUGUCCUCCUCUAUGAAUCCAUUGAGGAAAGCAGUUUUUACGUCCAUUUGCCAGAUCUCAUAAUCAUAGUAUGCGGCUAUGGCAAGUAAUGUUCGCAUGGAUUUAAGCAUGACCACAGGAGAGAACGUUUCUUUAUAGUCGAGACCUUCUCGUUGACUGUAGCCUUUUGCUACAAGUCUCGCCUUGUAUGUCUCUACUUUUCCAUCCACACCAAUCUUUUUCUUGAAAAUCCAUUUACAACCAAUAGGUACUAUACCUUCUGGCGGAUCAACAAGAGUCCAUACGUGAUUGGUAUACAUUGAGUCCAUUUCGGACUUCAUAGCUUCUUGCCAUUUUAUUGAGUCGAUGUCUAACAUCGCCUCUUCGUAACUAGUAGGAUCAUCCCUGCGAUCACUAUCGCCAAUGAGGAACAUUUCCUUUGUGCAUUCCAUAACGAAAUCUCGAUAUUUCUCUGGAGGUUGGGAUAUUCUACCAGAUCUUCGAGGUAAUUGUGUAAUAGUGGGUUCAGUUUGAAUAGCUUGUUCAAAUUGUUCUUGAGAAAUUGUUUGCUCAUUUGAGACCAUCUCUUUUAGCACUAUCUCGUUUCCGGCACCACCUUCUUGGAUAAACUCUUUUUCCAAAAAUAUUGCAUGUCGGCUAACAAUCACGUUUUGUUCACUUUGAAGAUAAAAAUAGUAUCCCAUAGACUCCUUGGGAUAACCAAUAAAUCUUCCUUUAUCCGACCUAGCCUCCAAUUUAUCUGUUUUAAGUUUUUUAACAAAAGCCGGGCAUCCCCAAAUCCUUAAAUGAUUGAGACCCAGUUUUUUGCCAAACCACAUCUCAUGCGGGGUACAAGGAACAGAUUUUGAAGGCACCCUGUUUAGAAUAUAGGCUGCGGUUAAUAGAGCAUAACCCCAAAGAAAUAAAGGUAAGUCUGUGAAGCUCAUCAUCGAUCGUACCAUAUCUAAUAAAGUACGAUUUCUUCUUUCUGAAACUCCAUUCAAUUCCGGAGUUCCAGGAGGUGUCUAUUGUGAGAGAAUACCGUUUUCUCUGAGAUAAUUUAAAAAUUCAGUACUAAGGUAUUCGCCUCCUCGAUCUGAUCGAAGAGCCUUAAUACUUUUUCCUGUUUGCUUCUCUACUUCAUGUCUGAAUUCUUUGAACUUUUCAAAGGUUUCAGACUUGUGUUUCAUAAGAAACACAAACCCAUACCGUGAAUAAUCAUCGGUAAAAGUCACAAAGUAAAGAUAACCACCCCGAGCCGUUUCACUAAACGGUCCACACUCAUCCGAGUGUAUAAGGGCAAGUAACUCUGUGGCUCGCUCUCUUUGUCCAACAAAGGGUGACUUGGCCAUUUUGCCUUGAAGACAAGACUCACAAACUGGAUAGGAUUCUAAAACACAAGUUCGCAAGUGCCCAUCCUUGGCCAGUCGGUUUAUCCUAUCUUCUUCAAUGUGACCUAGUCGUAGGUGCCAUAGAUACUUUUGGUUCAGACUAUUAUCUCUAGGUCUCUUCUCUUUAUGUUCAAUAUUAGCAACAUUUCCAUCCAGAUUUAGAAAGUAGAGAUUGUUAACUAAACUACCAGUAGCUAUCAAUUUAUUUUGGAAAUAAAUAAAACAACCAUUAGUUUCAAAAAUAAAACGAUAACCAGUUCGUACUAAAGUUGUAACCGAAAUCAAAUUCCUAACAACUAAAGAAGAAUAAUAACAAUUCUCUAAUUCUAAAAUAUGUCCAGAUGGAAGUCUCAAAGAACAGCUCCCUACGGCUAACACAGCAACACUUGCUCCAUUUCCCACACGCAGGGUCACCUCGCCGUCCUUCAGUGUUCUACUUCCCUUUAGAUCCUGCAAUGAAUUACAAAGAUGUAAGGUGCAUGCAGAAUCUAAUACCCAAGAAGAAGUAGAGCCAAUCAUAUUGGCCUCAACGAUGAGCAUUUCGUUCGUACCUUCAGAAGGCCCCUCCUUCAAUUUUUCUUUUAGGCUAGAAAGAUAUUCUUUACAAUUUCUCUUCCAAUGCCCAUCCUUACCGCAAUGGAAACAUUUUCCUUUAGCCUUGCCAUUGUCGGAUUUCUUGAAAUUUGCUUUCUUCACUCCACCCGAUGACUUGAACUUAGGAAACUUUUUCUUUCCUUUGAACUUUCCUUUUGAAGCUCUUUCAACCGCCAUCGCCAUCCCGUUUGUCUUCAAUGUGCCUUCCGCUGUGAUUAGCAUAUUCAUAAGCUCGGACAAAGUGGCAUGAAUCCUAUUCAUGUUGAAGUUCAUAACAAAAUGAGAGAACGAUUCUGGCAAAGACUGUAGAACUAGAUCGAUCUGCAAGUCCGCGUCCAAGUUCAAGCCGAGAUUUUUCAGCUGCUCCAUGUCGUCAAUCAUUUUGAGACAAUGUUCACUGACCGACGUGCCUGGAGUCAUCUGAGCUUUAAACAAUCGCUUUGAUAUCUCAUAUCUUGCGGUUCGGCUUUGUGCACCAUACAACUCUUGUAAGUGCGCAAGCAUCUCAUAUGCUCGAGUAUAGUUCUCAUGCUGCCGUUGCAGCUCAUUCGACAUAGAGGCCAGCAUGUAAUAUUUAACACGCUGGUCAUCAUCAACCCACAUGUCUCUCUCCUCAACUUCUUCAGUUGUGGCUUCAGCGGUAAGCUCGGGAAUUGGAGCUUGAAGAACAUAAUCAAGCUUUUCAAUACCUAAAACAAUUUUUAGGUUACGAAGCCAGUCUUGGAAAUUAGGGCCGGUUAAUCGGUUAGAUUCCAUUAUGCGAGAAAGAGGGUUAGAGGCAUUCAUUUUGUCUGCAGAAAGUAGAGAUUUUAGUUAGAUAAGUAAUUUUUUCUUUUUAACCAAUUAAACCAGGGUCUAUUAGUUUAAAAGGUUCCUCCCACUAAUUUUAUCGAAUUUCUACACUCCCUAAGUAGAAAGACGGAAAUCCUCAUCCGUUAGAUUUCUUAGUGGCGAUUGGGGUUUCAUAAAUUACGACUCACCUCACCGGACAGUUUCUUGGAAAACCGUAAUUUAAUGAACGGGUAACAUCUUACCUCGACACAUCUUAUGUGCAAUCCAAUCGUCCUUUGGCCUCUAAGAUUUUUACGCCUCACCGGACGGUUUCUUGGCGCAACAACCUCAGUUAAGUCUAAUCCUCCUCUCCUACAAAUAUGGAAUUAUCAAAAGACCCUCACCGGACGGUUUCUUGGAUCCAUUGAUAAUGCCAUAUUGUAGCAUCUUAUGUCAAGAUGUUCGCAUAGUUCAAACACAAGUAGCCCCAUGGGACCAUGCGUGACUACUCAAUGCUGAAACAAUGCUACAUCUUGUGAUCGGUGGAAGGCCACGAUAGAGCAUCAAAUGCCCCUUCGUUUCAACUUAAUAUUUUAUAGAGAGUUUUAAAAUUAUAUAUCGGUCUCAUCAUCACAUGUUAUAUCUCAUAUAAAAUUAAUCACAUGUAUCACAUACACAAAAAUAAAUUGCAUAGUUUAGGGAUGAUCAUGGACUUUUCUGAUUCGACUCGAGCCGAUGAGUCAAAUCGGUCUAUAGGGUGAUACACACAUAUUCUCAACAAUUGCAAAUAUUAAGCCCUCUUCUUCUGUUGGAUUUGAUACAUCCUUUGAUGCCAUCACGAUUUGCGACGCCAAUCCAUCAACGCUUGAUGUGGAUUCUUCUCCAAAUAAUCCUAAUUUUAUCUAAUAAAAAUACAAGGAUUCGUAGAUCCCAAUAAAAUGGCACGCAGGCCCUUCGUGAUAAAAAAAUAUAUACAACCAUAAUUAAAUUACAAAUACACCCAUAAUCAAAUUACAAAUACAUCCAUAAUCACAUUACAAAUACAUCCAUAAUCACAUCACAGAAGUCUAAGGUCCAUGAUCAUCACCCAUCUAAAAACUAUGCAGAAAAUAAUAACCAAAUCGAUCUAAUCAUCGAUUAAAAAAUUAGAACUCAAUAAUAUGUUUUUCUCAUGUCUCCACGUAUUUAUUUUAUGGUGUGAAACCAAUAAAUCACACUACGUGCAACUUAAGAAAAACAAUAUCGAUCUCAUCGAAAACAGUUCCAAAAUUUCAAUCAAACCAUACAGAUCGUAAAUAUUUUACAUAGAACAUGAGAAUCGGCUCUGAUACCACUGUAAGAAUUUAUCCGGCACAAAAAAUCGCAGCGGAAAAUAAAAUUGUAUUUUCGAAAAACAAAAAUCCAUAUCACAUAUGAACCAAAAUAAAACAAAUCAAUCCAGUGCCGGUGGAUCAUUCUCAUGUUGCAAUGUAAAAUAAAAUCUAACCUAAACAGAUUUAAAGUUCAUGUUACAUUACCUCGGACCAGUUAAGGUCUCUUGAUCUACUGUACGGUUGAAAUUGAGAUUCCGAUUAGCCGCGCACGUGCCCGGCCUCUACGUGUAUCCACACGGAAUUGAUCUAGAUCCAACGCCUUCCGUCGCACGGAACUGAUGAGCCGCAGAUUACCAAGACGGUGCUAGCAGUCUUGUAAUAUCCACGUUCCCUCUUGUGAGAUGUACUGAUUUUCAGAAGAUCUAAUAGAGACGGAUAAUUAUAUUAUUUUUCUUUCUUCUUCUGAGCUUAUAAAAAAAUUAUCCUCGCUUAUAUAGAUAUAUGUAUAUAUAUAUAUCUAUAUAUCUUAAUUAACUCCAUUCAUCAAGCAUAAUGUAUACGUGGGCAACAACUUAACUAAUUAAGCCGCAGCUCACGUACACCAUCUCAUAGUAGAGCCGUACAAAUUGGCACCCUCGCAAUCUGUUGCAACCAAUUAGAUCAUAUCCAAUUAGUUGCUAUACUAAUUGGAUCACAUCCAAUUAGUUGCUGCAUAGGAUAAUUAAACAGUAAAUUUAUGUUUAUCCAUAUGGAUAUUUUAUCUUUAUCCUUCUCUUUAAAUUAGAUCUUAUCCAUUAUAAUUAAAUAUUCAUACUUAAGUCUAAUCUCAUUAGAAUAUUAUUAUCUCAUAAUAAUUUAUGAAUAUUUAAUUAUUCUCUAAUCUAAUUAGAGAUUAAAUCUAUCGUAACAUUCAAAUUAUAAUUCUCACUAUUUUCACUAAACUAUUUAGUGUAUUAAUUAGACUCAUCUUAUCAAAUUGGAUGCACACAAUUCCCAUUGUGUGUGACCGCGUAGGUCCAUUAUCAUUCGGCAGUGGAAUUCAAUAUUAAACUCUUUAAUAUUGAAUUAGAACUCUUCUAAUCUAUGAAAUAAUUUAUUUUAAAUUAUUUCAGCUUCUCACUGUCCGUGAGUGACACCUAGCAGUAUAUCACGGUAAUCCAGAAUGAUGAUGAAAAAUGAACCUUUCCGCUAUCAGUUAUCGUGUGAUUAAUUCCUUCCAACACAACGUCCCGAUCGAACUAAAAUUAUGAUUACUCGCCAAAUCUUAUUAUUCGAUCAUAUGACUAGAAUAUCUAAAACUGACUCAAUAUGGUAACACAGCUGGAAACUCUUUCCACACACCACGUACCCUGGCCAAGGAUUUUUCGAGUCAAGUUCGACAGUCUACAUAGGACGUUCUCUCUCACUAUUGAGAGUGUUGAAUUCCUUAUUGCGCAUUCAUAUGCCUCCCCAUAUAAACUACUACAGCCAAUCAGUACCAGACAUAGACCAAUGAUUAGAGUCUAAGUAUUAGUACAGUUAAACAGUAGCAAUCUACAUGUGAAGCAACCAUGAUGCCUCAGGUCUAAGGAGUACUUCACACAACUGUAGCAAAGAACUAGUCACUGGCGAAUUCGGAACCAUGUGACUGUUCAACUAAAUGGUCACGCUCAGUGUACUUGUUCUCUAACAAGCACCUGCAUGCUUACUUUAGUGUCCCUACACUAAUGACUUGAGAUUCGUCACCUCAACUUAGAAGUAUAGCAUACACCGGCCUAUCCGGAAAUAUCAUCGUCCUUAUGAUAUUCCUAUGGCUAGGAGCAUUUAAGAAUCUUGUACAAAGAAAUAUAUAUCUCAAAUUCCUAACUCUUAGGAAUAUAUUUUCUUAACAAAGAUUCAAUGGACGAUUCAUAUAAAUGUAUUGUACUGCUAACAAUAAAUAUGAAUAAAGCUUGCCCUUUAUUAAUUAAGAAAAAUACUUAAUAUGUUCACUAGCCUGUGUC